rnacentral:rRNA from 1 species
GUACGACGGAGCACGUGAAAUUCCGUCGGAAUCUGGGAGGACCAUCUCCUAAGGCUAAAUACUCUCUAGUGACCGAUAGUGAACCAGUACCGUGAGGGAAAGGUGAAAAGCACCCCGGAAGGGGAGUGAAAUAGAACCUGAAACCGUGUGCUUACAAGUAGUCAGAGCCCGUUAAUGGGUGAUGGCGUGCCUUUUGUAGAAUGAACCGGCGAGUUACGAUUUGAUGCAAGGUUAAGCAGUAAAUGUGGAGCCGUAGCGAAAGCGAGUCUGAAUAGGGCGUUUAGUAUUUGGUCGUAGACCCGAAACCAGGUGAUCUACCCUUGGUCAGGUUGAAGUUCAGGUAACACUGAAUGGAGGACCGAACCGACUUACGUUGAAAAGUGAGCGGAUGAACUGAGGGUAGCGGAGAAAUUCCAAUCGAACCUGGAGAUAGCUGGUUCUCUCCGAAAUAGCUUUAGGGCUAGCCUCAAGUGAUGAUUAUUGGAGGUAGAGCACUGUUUGGACGAGGGGCCCCUCUCGGGUUACCGAAUUCAGACAAACUCCGAAUGCCAAUUAAUUUAACUUGGGAGUCAGAACAUGGGUGAUAAGGUCC